UACGUAGGGGGCAAGCGUUAUCCGGAAUCAUUGGGCGUAAAGCGCGUGUAGGCGGUUCGAUAAGUCGGCUGUGAAAGUCCAGGGCUCAACCCUGGGAUGCCGGUCGAUACUGUCGGGCUAGAGUAUCGGAGAGGUUGGUGGAAUUCUCGGUGUAGAGGUGAAAUUCGUAGAUAUCGAGAGGAACACCGGUGGCGAAGGCGGCCAACUGGACGAAUACUGACGCUGAGACUCGAAAGCGUGGGGAGCAAACAGG
rnacentral:rRNA from 1 species